rnacentral:lncRNA from 1 species
AAAUGUGCAUUAAGUUUAUAGGAAUUGCUUGGAAACUAUUUGAUGCAUUGACUACCUUGAUAUCCAUGCCUUUAUAGAUACUUUGAUGAAGUAUCAAAAUAUGAUUUAAAAAAAUGCUUAGCCCUGCUUAGAUCUUGUGGAUAGAGGUUGUCUUUUGCAAUAAUGCCUAGCUCAAGGGUUAUCCUAAGGAAGGAUGACUUCUACCUGCAAGAAUAUUUUCAUUGGGAGCAUGGUGGGAUCUUACUGCAAAGUUCCCUAUAAUGCUCUUUUCAUCCUUAGGAACACAAAACAAUCCUAAGGGUGGAAGUACUUAGCUUGAGACUUGGGCUAGGAACAGGUGAUGCUCCACCCAGGUUAAUUAAGGAUUGGAUGCGUAUGUAGGCCUGUAUGAUCAAGGACUAUCUUAACUGGCCACAUGCCCUAGAUAUGGGAUAGGGUAAGCUUGAACCCGGCUAUUCCAUACGUGAGAAGACAACCUCGCACUGGGCAUGGGAGAUGGUGGGAGUAGCGUGUACCCUCCUGGCUAGAGGCUGGACGGAGGAGUACUGUGCUCCCGGGUAGCGCGAACCGGUUCACAUUAUGGAAGAUCUGUGGGAAUGGUUGACAUAUGCAAGGGUUAAGUGCUACAUAUGUCGUGUGGUUAGAGAUCCUCAGCUGAGUAAAUCGAUUCGGAUCGUCGUUAUAUCCCCGGAUAGUGGAGACUUGAUCUCUGACCUGCAACCUAGGUCAGGAUGUAAACAUUAUGAAUAAAAAUGAUGUUGUAUUGAUAAGAUGGUGAAAUUAGACUAGAUGCAACCAGAGUUUAUUAAUAUUUAAUAUGGCGUUAAAAUAUUGAAAGUAAGGACUCACUUUAAUAAGCUAUUUCCGCAAAAGUAUCUAAGUUGUUUGCUAAAGCCUUUUCCUUGAUUACUAUUUAACCAGCAUAUCCUUGAGAGUCAUUUUUCCUUAGUCGGGUAAGACUGCGAAAGUACACUUCGUACUCAGGGUUUUCGAACACAUGUUGUUGUAGGUGUUGAGGAGUACUCUAAGUGAUUCAGAGGCUGGAGGGCAUUUCCAGUUUUAGGGGAGGAUUAGUUAGGCUUGUGUAUAAGCUUUGGAGGGUUCCUACCUUCCUGCUAUUGUAAUAAGUUAUGCACUUUAUGUAUAUCAGGACUUGUAAUAAAUGUAACUCUUCCUAUGUAAUAACCUUCAGUUUUAGAAAUGAAAAGAAUGUUUUGUAAAGUCUUCCGCUCUUAUCUCCGAAGUGUGUGUGUAUCGAAUGUGAUUAUUGUAAUAUGCAUGUAUGGUGGGAGAUCCUUGGGAUGAUGAGUUCAAGUUGUUGAACUCGUGAUAGCCUUGUUAAGUUACCUGGUACACGUGCAUAGCCAUGUGAGGCCAUCAAGGCAAGGAUUGGUGCACGUGGGCCCGAUAACUUGGGAGGGCUGCCAUAGAGUGGUAUCACAGCGAUCCCCCAUUAUCAUGGAUAUUAAAGUAAUCCUUUGAUAAACUUCAAAAGAAUUUUGAGUUCAAAUUAUUUUGAAAAAAACGUAAGAAUAUGAUCAAAUCCUGAUAGUCGAAGUGCAAAUAGUAUAUAGUUAAGAUAAGAACUAUAAGGUGGCUUAGUUUAGGAUGCUAACCACUAACCCACAACUAUAAUGCAAUUUUCUGCAGGUACACUAACUAAAACCCUAGGAAAGUGCGACUAGAGAUCAAUGACGGAGUAAGUAGGAUUGCCACCGCCAUAGAACGUGAUAGCCACUAUGUGUUGGCAAGAAUUGUGAGGACGAAUAGGACGAGCAUGCAUCAUGACAUACAACUUUAAGUUAAACCCCCUAUGUAGUAGCUUAGUACAUGUUUCAUCCAUCCUAUUCAUGCUACCUAUCUUUGCUUUUCUAUACUACCUUUUCCUAUUCGUGAAGCCUUGAAACUCAGUUCAUUUGGUGGACCUGUAGUUUAUAAGGUACAGUUGCCAAAGAAUUUUUCAACAGUGCACGACAUGUUCUACGUGUCCCAGUUAAAGAAAUGUCUUCGAGUCCCCAAGCAUGUUAUUGAGAUUUCAGAUGUUAAACUUGGACCAGAUUUAACCUACUUGGAAUAUCCCAUAAAGGUGUUGGAUCUAAAGGAUCAGGUCACUCGAAGAAAAGCUAUCAAGUUUUACUAGAUAUAGUGGAACCAACACCUAGAAGAUAAGCCAUAUUGGAAUCGAUGGAGUAUUUAGAAAAACAUUUUCUUGAGUUCUUAGUUCCUUCUAAGCCCUAAGUUUUAUGUAGUUGUUUUUUUAUGUGAACCAACAAGGGUACACCCCCUAUCUUGUAGGUGUAAUGAGGAAAGAAACUGGUGACACGUUUCCUUUUCCAUUAUGUAACCUAGAGUUUUAAAUCUCGGGACGAGAUUUCUUUUUAGGGGGGAAGGCUGUAACACCCCUGGUGUUACGUGAACUAAAACUUGGACAUGUCAUCAUAAGCAUUUGCAUUAACUUGCUUGUUACACCUAGAAUGCAUUCACUAGGAUAAAAAUGUUACAAUAAGGCGAUGCUGUGUGCAGAGUAGAGGACCUAGUUAAGGACCUAAGCUAAACAGGAGUAGGUCAUCCCUUGAGCAAGUAAUAAACUUGACUUGGAGCCUUGAAGUGCUAAAGGCAAUUCCUAGAGUCUAUAGAAAAUUUGUUUUCAAAGAUAGAUCAAGUGGAAGAAAUACUUGGACCGAAGGAUUAACUUCAAAAUCCUAAGGCUUGAAAACCUUGAUUGGAAUUGAGUGUAAGCAAACAACUCCUAAAUCAAGGAUACUUUGGACCUGAGUUCUAUAAGACAAAGUUGGAUUUGAGAUUAAGGAGCAACUUUACUUUAGGAGGAUGGAUAAGUUUGCUUUUGAUAUGUGGAUUAGAAGUGGUGAAGUACUUAGGGUGGUUGAGUAUCUCUAACCCCUAAACUGGAGCCCAAAAGUGGAUUUGGAGAUCUAGCCACAUUUUGCAAGAGGUAAAAAUACCAAGUUGGUAGGAUUUCCAAAGUUGCACAAUUUUGUUAUUUGGAGAUUUCCAAGUUGUGUGGAGAAAUUUACAAAGGUUCAGUUUUGGAGUUCCUAAAAAUCGCAGCAACUAGACAAUUUUAAUCCUUUGUAACUUUUGAUCUAGAACCAUUUUGAAGAUGAUCGUUAUAAUAAAGUUAUAGAGCUACAUGAGGAGUAUAAGUUUGGUUAAGUCAUAUAGCUCUAAAACUAUUUGGAACUUUGAGUAAAACUGGUCCAAAGUAAAGUUGUCAAAAAUUGUGGAUUUCAGACUUAGUGAAAUUCAGAUUCUGAAUUUCAGCAAUUGGAGCAAACUUUGGGCUAUUGUAGUUUGGAAUUCAAGAGGUUUUGGUUAAUGGUCAAUAUAUCAAACUUGUAGACGAACUAUAGGAGUAUAAACUUUAUUAAGCAACUUUCCCCUAAAAACAUUUGGAACCCAGGAAAAAGAGUGGUUCCAAGUGGUGCUGGUGUGUUUCUGAAUUUUCAGAUUGGAAACAGUAACUGCAACUGAAUUUCAGUGUUUUGAUAGCAGUUUUGAAGCCUAUUUGUGGCUAUUCUACAAGGUUUUGUGUUUUGGUGUUUGUAGAAUAAGUGACGACCAUAUAAUGUGGAACAAACUUUCUUAUAGGGUGGUGGACCUGAUCCCAUACAAAAAGUGCAGAAAUAGUUGCUCAAAGAUUGGAUUGUCAAGUUGGUUAAUAACUGAAUUUUAAUUCAGUUCUGAAUCCUGAAUGGCAGCAAGUUGCCCAGUUUGGAGCUCUAUGAUAAUUAAUUUAUGGAGAUUUUGGUUAAGAGUUCUGUAGUAAAGGCAAAGUACAUAUGAAGGGGAACACUUUUUAUGCAAAGGGUUGACUUGUUACUGUGUAGAAUUUGGAGAAAAAGGAGUGACAAAAUGCUCUGUCAGGCUCAGUGUGAUGCCGUUUCAGAUUUCUGAAACUGAAUUUUCAGUGACAUUGGCUGUACUUUGGGGCACUGUAACUUUUGAUCCUUUCAUUUUUGGUCUUCGACUGCUGCAACAAACUAAUAGAGCUAUAGUUGGAGAAUGCUUUUGGUUGAAAGGGAUGGGUUUGUUGCCAUGGUGAUUUGUGCAAUAACAAGGCUUCAAUAGGGAGGUGCAGAUGGUGCAGCAGGGCUGUUUCAGUCACGUUCAGAGUUUGGUUUGGAAACUGAACAAGAUCAUCCCCUGCUGCUCGCCUUUGUUUGUGUUUAUAGGUUGAGAUGUGUAUGGAAUGGAUGCCUGAUGUCUAGAAGCCUCAAUCCCGACAGAAAGUAUCUAGUUUCGGAUUAAUUUGUGCUUGCUCACAGGUGCACAAUUAUCUAUUGCCCUGGACAAAGAAAAAUAAAACAGGAUCUAGUAACCUCAUCUCAGCAGAAAUAUCAAGUAUUGGACCACUUUGUGCUUAGCCACAAGUGAUGUUCCCAGCUGCUUUUCUUUUGUUUGCAGUAGAAGACAAAAUGGAUAUUUUGGCUUUGGGGAAGGGACCAAAUUCAGUGUCUCUGAUUGGUGCUGUGAACCAGACCAGGUGCAGUGACUGCACUAUGGAUCAGGUUGGGGAAUAAAGAAAAAGAUCUUUUACCUCUCGGCUGCUGUAGAAAAUAUCAGGUUUUGGGGUAUUUGAAGCCUGCCCUCGAUGGAGUUCUCAUCGGCUGCUUCUCUAGUUAUUCUCAAGUGAUAUUUUGGUGUAGAGCUUGACCAGGUUCAGUGUUUCUUUGGACAGUGCAUGUGAGCCAGCAAAGUAUAUGUGCAUGGGAGCCACGUUGAGUUGCUCCUGCAGUGCUGCUGUGCUGGCAUGCCCCAGAAUUCAUGUUCACCAAGUUGUGGUCGAGUUCCAUAUGCCUACCUACAUAAUCAGUGAUGCCUGCCCAUAUAUAUACAACCCUUUGGUUGGGUUCAGUGAAGGUUUCCUCCCUGCUCACGAAUUCUGUCCAAAGAUAACUGAAGGGUGUUGUGGCGCAUGUGUUCCUGCUAGUAUUAAUCUUCUCCCCAGUCCCUAGAUCGAUUUGCUUAAGCUGGUAUGUGCCACCCCCUGUGCUGGUGACCACGCGUGCAGUUCUCCCACCUCGCCAUGGCUCGGACGUCCUUAGGAGUUGCUGGCCCGUAUGAAGCUUGUUCCGUAAUCAUCUCAGGUCAGUGAAGCUCACACCAUUUACUGCUUGAACUCUACCACUAUUGGUUGCCUGGAACUAGGUGUGAAAUUUGCUCAAACAUAGGCUGUCAGGUUUCUGGAUCCCAGACUUAGUGCAUAAGGCUGAAACUAGGUUUUAGUGUGUUGAGCUCCACUUUGGUGCUUCAUAAAAAUUGUUUUGAAUGUUUUCAACCUAGGGGUACUAUACCAAAGUAGUAUAGCUAUAUCUAAGGAAUAACUUUGGUAAUGUGAGCUUGGUUUGUUUCUGUGUAAAAAUUGGAGAAAAGGUUGACUAAAGUUGGACUGUCAGGCUGAACACAACUGAAUUUUUUUAUUCAGUUCCGUGAACUGAAUUGCAGCAGUAUGCCUAGUUUGGAAUUCAUUUGUGACUGAUUCAUGGGGUUUUGGGUUAAAGUUUACAUAGCAAAGUUGGAGACCAUAGUAAAGAGAGUAAGUUUUGUAAAGUGAGGUGGACUUGGUUCCACAUAAAUUUGGGAGUAAAAGUGGCCAAAAGUGGACUGUCAGGUGUUGGGAUUCAGACUUGGAAUAAUAUUUAAGUCUGAAUUUGUGUGUUUUUAUUCAAUUUGGGUCCUUGUGGUAAUUAAUCCAAGAAGAACUGGGGUAGGGAUGCUAUAGCAAAGUGAAAGGCCAUGUUACGAGGAACAAAUCCCUUUAAGCAGGAAAUAACAGCAGGAAAUUCUAUGUGCUUGAAUCCACAUAAAGUAGGAAUUAACAGCUGUCCAAAACUGAACUGUCAGAGUGACUGUGACUGAAUUUUAUUCAGUUAGCUGAAAUAGCAGUUCAGUGUGGGGGUAACUUUGGGGUACAAUAGAAUUUGCUCUGAAUGUUUUCAAUCAUGGGUUGUUAUACCAAGUUGGUAAAGCUAAAGUCGGAGUAUAACUUUGGCUAAGAAGUUUUGGUCUGUACCAUUGAAAUUGUGAGAUACCAGGGGCUUUAACAGGGAGGUGUGUAGAUGGGGCAGCAGGCCUAAGGUAAUUGAGUUCAGGCUUUCAUUUGAAAACUAACGAAGAUCACCCCUGCAGCUCUCACCUGUGUAUGUGAAUGGAAGUGAGGGGAAACAGAGACUGAAUAUUGGUUGUGGUGUCGAUUAUGUAAAGUUUCAGUAUCUGAAACUGAAUUCGGUUCAAUUCUUUUUCAGUUACCUGAAUUUGAGUUUUUGUGUUUUCACCUCAAGUUGGUGUUCAACUUGAGAUCUGUUUGGGGUCAGCUGGUAGCCAUUGAAACAAAGAUAAAGAGUGAUUAUAGAGGAACAACUCCUAGUAGGGGAGUAUGUCGAGCCCUCAUGUGGAAUUGAGAAGAAGUAUAGUCUUGUGAUGUUUUAUAGUAUUUUAUUUGCAAACAACAUAAGCAUAAGCAUUCAUGUUCAUGUCAUUUCCUGUAGAGCUCCCAAAAUAAAGAGCGAAGAUUCAAGAUGAAGUGGUUGCUAAAGAGGACUCUACUCCAAUGCCUGCUCAUCAAGUGGAUGGAGCCAUCUAACUGGGGUUUAAUAGAGGGAUUUAGACCUCCGUCUCCGCAACAAAGGCAAGCCCCGAUGUAUUUACCCCUUCAUUGUAUUUUUAAAAAGACUUUUAUACACUUAAGUCUAGUCAAAUGUGCAUUAAGUUUAUAGGAAUUGCUUGGAAACUAUUUGAUGCAUUGACUACCUUGAUAUCCAUGCCUUUAUAGAUACUUUGAUGAAGUAUCAAAAUAUGAUUUACAAAAAUGCUUAGCCCUGCUUAGAUCUUGUGGAUAGAGGUUGUCUUUUGCAAUAAUGCCUAGCUCAAGGGUUAUCCUGAGGAAGGAUGGCUUCUACCUGCAAGAAUAUUUUCAUUGGGAGCAUAUGGUGGGAUCUUACUGCAAAGUUCUCCAUAAUGCUCUUUUCAUCCUUAGGAACACAAAACAAUCCUAAGGGUGGAAGUACUUAGCUCUAGACUUGGGAUUGGAACAGGUGAUGCUCCACCCAGGUUAAUUAAGGAUUGGAUGCGUAAGUAGGCCUGCAUGAUCAAGGACUAUCUUAACUGACCACAUGCCCUGGAUAUGGGAAGGGUAAGCUUGAACCCGGCUAUUCCAUACGUGAAAAGACAACCGCACACUGGGUAUGGGAGAUGGUGGGAGUAGCAUGUACCCUCCUGGCUAGAGGCUGGACAGAGGAGUAUUGUGCUCCCGGGUAGAGCGGAUCGGUUCACAUUGUGGAGGAUCUGUGGGAAUCGUUGACAUAUGCAAGGGUUAAGUGCUACAUAUGUGGUGUGGUUAGAGAUCCUCAACUGUGGAGACUUGAUCUCUGACCUGCAACCUAGGUCAGGAUGUAAACAUUAUGAAUAAAAAUGAUGUUGUAUUGAUGAGAUGGUGAAAUUAGACUAGAUGCAACCAGAGUCUAUUAAUAUUUAAUCUGGCGUUAAAAUAUUGAAAGUAAGGACUCACUUUAAUAAGCUAUUUCCGCAGAAGUAUCUAAGUUGAUUCUUGCUAAAGCCUUUUCCUUGAUUCCUAUUUAACCAGCAUAUCCUUGAGAGUCAUUUUUCCUUAGUCGGGUAAGACUGCGAAAGUACACUUCGUACUCAGGGUUUUCGAACCCAUGUUGUUGUAGGUGUUGAGGAGUACUCAAAGUGAUUCGGAGGCUGGACGGCAUUUCCAGUACUGGGGGAGGAUUAGUUAGGCUUGUGUAUAAGCUUUGGAGGGUUCCUACCUUCCUGCUAUUGUAAUAAGUUAUGCACUUUAUAUAUAUCAGGACUUGUAAUAAAUGUAACUCUUCCUAUGUAAUAACCUUCAUUUUUAGAAAUGAAAACAAUGUUUUGUAAAGUCUGCCGCUCUUAUCUCCGAAGUGUGUGUAUCGAAUGUGAU